GGGUUUGAUCAUGGCUCAGAUUGAACGCUGGUGGUAUGCUUAACACAUGCAAGUCGAACGGUAACAUUGGAGCUUGCUCCAGAUGACGAGUGGCGGACGGGUGAGUAACGCGUAGGAAUCUGCCUAGUAGUGGGGGACAACAUGUGGAAACGCAUGCUAAUACCGCAUACGCCCUACGGGGGAAAGCGGGGGAUCUUCGGACCUCGCGCUAUUAGAUGAGCCUGCGUUAGAUUAGCUUGUUGGUGGGGUAAUGGCCUACCAAGGCGACGAUCUAUAGCUGGUCUGAGAGGACGAUCAGCCACACUGGGACUGAGACACGGCCCAGACUCCUACGGGAGGCAGCAGUGGGGAAUAUUGGACAAUGGGCGCAAGCCUGAUCCAGCAAUACCACGUGUGUGAAGAAGGCCUGAGGGUUGUAAAGCACUUUCAAUUGGGAGGAAAACAGCUGGGCUAAUAGCCCUGCUCUUGACAUUACCUUUAGAAGAAGCACCGGCUAACUCCGUGCCAGCAGCCGCGGUAAUACGGAGGGUGCGAGCGUUAAUCGGAAUUACUGGGCGUAAAGCGUACGUAGGCGGUUAUUUAAGUCAGAUGUGAAAGCCCCGGGCUCAACCUGGGAACUGCAUUUGAAACUGGAUAACUAGAGUUUGAUAGAGGAGAGUAGAAUUUCUGGUGUAGCGGUGAAAUG
rnacentral:rRNA from 1 species